UACGGGGGGGGCAAGCGUUGUUCGGAAUUACUGGGCGUAAAGGGCUCGUAGGCGGCCAACUAAGUCGGAUGUGAAAUCCCUCGGCCCAACCGAGGAACUGCGCCCGAGACUGCUUCUCUUGAGUCCCGGAGAGGAAGAUGGAAUUCCCGGUGUAGCGGUGAAAUGUGUAGAGAUCGGGAGGAACACCGGUGGCGAAGGCGGUCUUCUGGACGGUGACUGACGCUGAGGCGCGAAAGCGUGGGGAGCAAACGGG
rnacentral:rRNA from 1 species